CGGGUUGUAAAGCACUUUUAGUGGGGAUGAAAUGUGCAGGGUUAAUACCUCUGGCAUUUUGACCUAACCCACAGAAAAAGCACCGGCUAACCUCUGUGC
rnacentral:rRNA from 1 species